AACGAACGCUGGCGGCGUGCCUAACACAUGCAAGUCGGACGAGAAAGUUCCUUUCGGGGGACGAGUACAGUGGCGCACGGGUGAGUAACACGUUGACAACCUGCCUUCCAGUCCGGGACAACCCCGCGAAAGCGAGGCUAAUACCGGAUAAUAAGCCGGGCCGCAUGGCUUGGUUUUGAAAGACUUGUCGCUGGAAGAGGGGUCUGCGGGGACAUUAGCUAGUUGGCGGGGUAACGGCCCACCAAGGCUANGAUGUCUAGCGGGUCUGAGAGGAUGAUCCGCCACACUGGAACUGAGACACGGCCCAGACUCCUACGGGAGGCAGCAGUGGGGAAUAUUGGACAAUGGCGAAAGCCUGAUCCAGCGACGCCGCGUGGGUGAAGAAGGCCUGCGGGUUGUAAAGCCCUUUCAGUGGGGAAGAAAAGCCUCGACCUACACGUCGGGUCUUGACGUACCAUAGAAGAAGCACCGGCUAACUCUGUGCCAGCCGCCGCCGUAAG
rnacentral:rRNA from 1 species